rnacentral:rRNA from 1 species
AUGCGGCGCAGACGGCGGGGGGUUCUAGCGCGGGCGACCGCUUUCUGGCGGAUCGAGGGCUCGACGAGGCUGGGCCCGGUGGUGGCGGCGUGGGCGGCUCAACAGUCGGUGCACUACGCGCGCCUCGGCGCACCUUGUCCCCCGCUCGGGUUGGUGGUGGUCCAGGCUGCAGGUCCCACGGCGGCGGCUGCUCCUUCGGCGGCGCGACGGCUGGGCAGCGUGGCGAGUAGGCGCGGCUACGGCGGCGGCCUCGCGACGUCCAGCGGUGGGUUGAGGCUAGGCGGCUGCGACUGCUCUAUCUCGCUCAUGCGGCUCCGGCUUCCGGCGAUUCAGAUCUGGUGCGACUCGGUUGUAGCCUUCCGGCGGCGGCUUUGGCUGUCCUCCGGCCACCGAGGCAAGGCUUGGGGCGAGGUCGCAGUCUGGUCAGGCCCUCCCUUGCCUCCAGCUUUGCGAUGUGGGCUCCAUGCCGUCGGGCCUGGCCGGGCUCCUGCCGAUGGUGAUGAUGAUGACGUGGUGCCUCUUGGGCUCCGGGGCGGCGGCCUCGGGUAUGGUGCUGGCGGUUUCGGCCAGGAGAUGGUGCGAGUCUGGUCACGGUGGAUCGUGGGAUAUCGUGGCCAGAGUGAGGUCGGCCUCGGCAGGGGUGGUGGUCAGUGGGCGGCGGUCGGCGGUGACAGGGGGUCGGCACAUCUCCGGGAGAAAUCAUUGCUCCGGUCUUCACCGGAGCCGGCGACGGCGGCGCCCGCAGGUGCCGUGAUCUUUCUUGGAAGCGUCGUCGUGGAGUUUCUCCUUCUCCCCACGGCUUGGGCUCCGGAGGGAAAUCUUAGAUCCGUUGGAUCGGGCGAUGGAGGCGUCUUCGUGUCUUUCUCCUCCUUGGGGGCAUCGUCUCGGAGCCGGCUAUGA